CCUACGGGCGGCAGCAGUGAGGAAUAUUGGUCAAUGGACGAGAGUCUGAACCAGCCAAGUAGCGUGAAGGAUGACUGCCCUAUGGGUUGUAAACUUCUUUUAUAUGGGAAUAAAAUGUUCCACGUUUGGGAUUUUGUAUGUACCAUAUGAAUAAGGAUCGGCUAACGCCGUGCCAGCAGCCGCGGUAAUACGGAGGAUCCGAGCGUUAUCCGGAUUUAUUGGGUUUGAAGGGAGCGUAGGUGGAUGGUUAAGUCAGUUGUGAAAGUUUGCGGCUCAACCGUAAAAUUGCAGUUGAAACUGGCAGUCUUGAGUACAGUAGAGGUGGGCGGAAUUCGUGGUGUAGCGGUGAAAUGCUUAGAUAUCACGAAGAACUCCGAUUGCGAAGGCAGUUCACUGGACUGCAACUGACACUGAGGCUCGAAAGUGUGGGUAUCAAACAGGAUUAGAUACCCUUGUAGUC
rnacentral:rRNA from 1 species